CGACGUAGGGCGCAAGCGUUGUCCGGAAUUAUUGGGCGUAAAGAGCUCGUAGGUGGUUUGUUACGUCUGCUGUGAAAACCUAGGGCUUAACCCUGGGCUUGCAGUGGAUACGGGCAGACUAGAGGUAGGUAGGGGAGAAUGGAAUUCCUGGUGUAGCGGUGAAAUGCGCAGAUAUCAGGAGGAACACCGGUGGCGAAGGCAGUGGCUGGGCCGGCACUGACGCUGAGGAGCGAAAGCGUGGGGAGCGAACAGG
rnacentral:rRNA from 1 species